rnacentral:sRNA from 1 species
CACACACACACACAACAUGCACAGAUACAUGUAUGCCUCCCCUCUAACAAGCACAGAAGCCUUUUCAGAUUUCUUCCUUGAAGGGAAGAGGCAUGCCCUCAGCCCUGAGGGAAGGAGCCAAAAAGCCUGUUUUUUGUUAGUUCUGGGCCUGCUGGCAAUGAGCCACCUGUGGGCUCCCUCUUUUGUCCCCCAAAAAUGUGAGCUGUCUGCACUGGUUACAAGUGGGAGAUGAGGACAUUGGGGAGCAGCACUUUUGGCCAGGGAUGUUGGUGGGAGGAAGGAGGCGGGUAAGAGGAGGGAGGGCUUCUUAAAAAUGUAUUCCCCUGAAGCCAGCAGGACUGCACACACACUUCCGCUAAGCCUGUUUCCCUAAGUCCCCCCAUGCCACUCAAGCGCGUAACUCAGAAGAGAGGCUUCCUUUGCUCCCUACCGAAUCACGUUUUCUUGGGUGGAUGUUAAGACAACGGGCAAAAACGAGCUAAAGUUUGGCAGUCUCCAGCCGUAUGUGGGAAUGCCACACGUGACCUCUGGGUCAUGUUCCAUGGUCAUUUAUUCUACUUCUGGAGGGAGCUAUUAGGAAAUCAAACCCCAGGAAGAUUUGGGACAAGCAUGGCCCUGGGACCCAUGUGCCAGGAAGCUGAUAAGGAUGUUCAGGAUUCUCUCCGUCAGAGCCUACGAGAAGUUCAAACCUCACACACCCCCUGUUCAUGUGCUAGGACCAUCCUCUACCUGUGAGAGCAUCCUGGUUUGACCCCUUCCCCAAGGAAACACUGAUGCUAGACGCUCCCCAUCAGCAGGAUCAGGCUGUGCUGGAGUUCAUCCUGAGAUUGGAUUUUAAUCAUCUCCUUUAUCUUUGGAGCUCCUGACUGCCUCCAGAAUGAUUGAUCUCCUUCCCCAUCAUCUGCCACAGUUCCAGACACCAUGCUUGGCGUCACUGAGAAUGAGCUAAGUCGCUCAGAAGAAUGUCAUUUUGCUCUGGGCAGAGGUUGUUUUAUUGUCUAUUCAGAAGGGGGAACAAAAAUAUUCAUUGGGAGG